GCUCCUCAAAAUUAACAUGAGCCCAAUUAAAUAAAUUAACUAUUUUCUGAUUUAAUAAAUUAAAAUUAAUAACCUUCUUUAAAACAUAAAACAAGUUAAUCUCUCUCUGUUUUCUAUUUCUUCCCCACGCAGACAUCUCUCCCUCUCUUCGCUCCCUCUCUCGGCCGCCUCUCUCUCCCCCCUUCUCCGGCGAGGCUGACGCAUCUUCUCCCCUUCCGCUUUCUUCCCUCUCCUUCCUACAUUUAAUUCCCAAAUUCUAAAAUCAAUUCAACCUAGGGUUUUCAAUCCCCCCCAUCAAUUUUACUCCUCUGGAGAAUCCCGGCGAAUAACGUCGCCGCCGCCCCAGCUCGUCGGAUUUCCGCUCCUCCGUCGUUCUCCCUGCCUCAGGUAAGUCCCCUAUCUCUCUUCUUCUCUCUAUAUCCUCCCUCUCAGUCUCUCUCCUCUAUCUCUAUGUCUUUGUAUCUCUGUCUCUAUUUGCCAGCCACCGUGGGCCGCCGUAGCGCGGGCAGCACCGGCGGUCAUCGCCAUCAGCUGCGCCCCGCCGUGGUGGCUCGCGGCUGCCGCUGCUACCGUCCCUGUUCUUCUUUCCCUUUUAUCCAUCUAAUUCUCAGAUUUUUACUUCCUCAAACUAAUAAGUCUCAAACAAUUUUCCAUUUCAGGAAUCGAUGAUUCAAGGGAUCUCCAGUUCGUCUACUGCUCAAAAUCCAAUUUUUAUAUGUUAUAAACCUAUUUUCCUUUAUUACUUAUUGUAAAACUGAGAUUUUGAUGGUGAGGAAACAAAUCAACAAUACUGUAUCGUUACUAUGCUUAUGGAAAUUAGAGUUAGAGAUAUCUGUUUGUGCUUAACUGGUGUAGCUAUGUCUGUUUUCACUGCUUUUCUUUACAUAAAGAAUCUACUGUAUUGAAAGAAAGACUACCUUCUUUGAUGUCUGCUGUGGAGGAUGUGUGUUUGAAUGGAUGAUUGCUGCGUGUUUAAGAUUGCAGAAUGAGGAAGGAAAGGGUUUAACGUGAGAGGUGAGGGUAUUUAAACAAGCUGAAGUCGGUUGUGGAGUAGCUGCGUAAAAGCUACAAGAAACGUGUUCCUCUGUGAGCUAAUCAGGCUUAAUAGAUCUAAUUAGCAAUUUAAAACUCUAAUUAAAAGAUA
rnacentral:lncRNA from 1 species